rnacentral:rRNA from 1 species
UAGGGAAUCUUCCGCAAUGGACGCAAGUCUGACGGAGCAACGCCGCGUGAGUGAAGAAGGAUUUCGGUUCGUAAAACUCUGUUGUUAGAGAAGAACAGCGCAUAGAGUAACUGUUAUGCGUGUGACGGUAUCUAACCAGAAAGCCACGGCUAACUACGUGCCAGCAGCCGCGGUAAUACGUAGGUGGCAAGCGUUGUCCGGAUUUAUUGGGCGUAAAGGGUUCGCAGGCGGCAUGACAAGUCCGAUGUAAAAGGCGAAAGCUCAACUUUCGUAAGCAUCGGAAACUGUCAAGCUUGAGUGAAGGAGAGGCAAGUGGAAUUCCUAGUGUAGCGGUGGAAUGCGUAGACAUUAGGAGGAAUACCGGUGGCGAAGGCGACUUGCUGGACUUCAACUGACGCUGAGGAACGAAAGCGUGGGUAGCAAACAGG